rnacentral:rRNA from 1 species
GAUGAACGCUGGCGGCGUGCCUAAUACAUGCAAGUCGAGCGAACGGACGAGAAGCUUGCUUCUCUGAUGUUAGCGGCGGACGGGUGAGUAACACGUGGAUAACCUACCUAUAAGACUGGGAUAACUUCGGGAAACCGGAGCUAAUACCGGAUGAUAUUUUGAACCGCAUGGUUCAAAAGUGAAAGACGGUCUUGCUGUCACUUAUAGGUGGAUCCGCGCUGCAUUAGCUAGUUGGUAAGGUAACGGCUUACCAAGGCAACGAUGCAUAGCCGACCUGAGAGGGUGAUCGGCCACACUGGAACUGAGACACGGUCCAGACUCCUACGGGAGGCAGCAGUAGGGAAUCUUCCGCAAAGGGCGAAAGCCUGACGGAGCAACGCCGCGUGAGUGAUGAAGGUCUUCGGAUCGUAAAACUCUGUUAUUAGGGAAGAACAUAUGUGUAAGUAACUGUGCACAUCUUGACGGUACCUAAUCAGAAAGCCACGGCUAACUACGUG